GGCAAGCAGCCUGAAGCACAACGCCCGACGCACAAAGCCUGGCUGUCUUCCUGCCGCCACUGGAGUCCCUUCCUGCGAGUGAGCUGCUCGCCCUCUUCUUUCUCUGCUCUGGAUCUGCCACCACGAACUGAAGGGCCACUGGAGCUGGGGGGUCUACAGCCCUGAUUUACCAUUCCAGAGAUGAGUGAACCUACUCAGGACCCCACUGGAGUUAAGGGAUCUCGUGCACUGCACUUUGCAGGAAGAGGGCCGCAACUUGCUCUCUUCCUGCCGUCACACAUUCUCAUGAUUUCUUCAUGCAAGGAUUUGGGGGAAUACACACGGCUCCUCCUUUCCACCAUCUGCCUGAGAACUUCACCUCAGCGGAGGGGAGUUGUACCUUUUCUGCCGGAACCUGAAAUUCUCAACUUUCCAGCUUGCACCAAAUCCAUGCUAACCCGGGUGUUAAUUUGUCAAGUACGUACGGUGCCCGGCUGGACCGAAUUGGAGCUACGCCCAAGUAAAGAGGAAGAAACUUCAAACGUAAGGAACACCCCUAAGCUUGACUUUAU